rnacentral:rRNA from 1 species
AACGAACGCUGGCGGCAUGCCUAACACAUGCAAGUCGAACGAAGCCUUCGGGCUUAGUGGCGCACGGGUGCGUAACGCGUGGGAAUCUGCCCUUGGGUUCGGAAUAACAGUUAGAAAUGACUGCUAAUACCGGAUGAUGUCUUCGGACCAAAGAUUUAUCGCCCAAGGAUGAGCCCGCGUAGGAUUAGGUAGUUGGUGGGGUAGUGGCCCACCAAGCCGACGAUCCUUAGCUGGUCUGAGAGGAUGAUCAGCCACACUGGGACUGAGACACGGCCCAGACUCCUACGGGAGGCAGCAGUGGGGAAUAUUGGACAAUGGGCGAAAGCCUGAUCCAGCAAUGCCGCGUGAGUGAUGAAGGCCUUAGGGUUGUAAAGCUCUUUUACCAGGGAUGAUAAUGACAGUACCUGGAGAAUAAGCUCCGGCUAACUCCGUGCCAGCAGCCGCGGUAAAAC